rnacentral:rRNA from 1 species
GACGAACGCUGGCGGCGUGCUUAACACAUGCAAGUCGAACGGAAAGGCCCUGCUUUUGUUUGGUGCUCGAGUGGCGAACGGGUGAGUAACGCGUGAGUAACCUGCCCUUGACUUUGGGAUAACUUCAGGCAACUGGGUCUAAUACCGGAUAGGAGCUCCUGCGGCAUGGUGGGGGUUGGAAAUUUUCGGCGGUUGGGGAUGGACUCGCGGCUUAGCAGCUUGUUGGUGGGGUAGUGGCUUACCAAGGCGUUGACGGGUAGCCGGCCUGAGAGGGUGACCGGCCACAUUGGGACUGAGAGACGGCCCAGACUCCUACGGGAGGCAGCAGUGGGGAAUAUUGCACACUGGGCGGAAGCCUGAUGCAGCAACGCCGCGUGCGGGAUGACGGCCUUCGGGUUGUCAACCGGUUUAGCCUGUGACGAAGCGUGAGUGACGGUAAUGGGUAAAGAAGCACCGGCUAACUACGUG